rnacentral:rRNA from 1 species
AUUGAACGCUGGCGGCAGGCCUAACACAUGCAAGUCGGACGAGCGGCGGACGGGUGAGUAAUGUAUGGGGACCUGCCUGCUGGCGGCGGAUAACGACUGGAAACGGUAGCCAAUGCAGCAUACCACCAGCUGCACCCAUCGGGGCUUGGCUUGUGGGUAGGGUAACGGCUUACGUAGGCCACGCUCCCUAGCUGGUCUGAGAGGAUGAUCAGCCACACUGGGACUGAGACACGGCCCAGACUCCGACGGGAGGCAGCAGUGGGGAAUAUUGCACAAUGGGCGCAAGCCUGAUGCAGCCAUGCCGCGUGUAUGAAGAAGGCCUUCGGGUUGUAAAGUACUUUCAGUCGGGAGGCGUUACCGACAGAAGAAGCACCGGCUAACUCCGUGCCAGCAGCCGCGGUAAUAC